UUUGAUCGGAAUAAAUGUAAAUUAUUUUCUUAUUUCUAUUUUAUGAUUGACCAAUAUAAACAUCAACAACUUCAAAUUGGACUCGUUUCCGGAAUUCGACCCGCUAUUAAUGUGGGUAUUUCUGUUUCCAGAGUAGGAUCCGCGGCUCAAAUUAAAGCCAUGAAACAAGUAGCUGGCAAAUCAAAAUUGGAACUAGCGCAAUUCGCAGAGUUACAAGCCUUUGCACAAUUCGCCUAUGCUCUCGAUAAAAUAAGUCAGAAUCAAUUGGCAAGGGGUCGACGAUUAAGGGAAUUGCUUAAACAAUCCCAGGAAAAUCCUCUCCCAGUGGAAGAGCACCCAUUCGACCUAGCUCUCCUAGAUAUGAAUUGCCUAAGGUACCUGAGGGAUAUGUUAUGGAAGGAGAGAUAG
rnacentral:rRNA from 1 species